CGCCAGACUCCUACGGGAGGCAGCAGUAGGGAAUUUUGCGCAAUGGGGGAAACCCUGACGCAGCAACACCGCGUGAAUGUUAAGCCCUUCGGGGUGUAAAGUUCUGUCAAUAGGGACGAAUUUUGACUGUACCUAUAAAGGAAGCACCGGCUAACUCCGUGCCAGCAGCCGCGGUAAUACGUAGGUGGCAAGCGUUAUCCGGAUUUAUUGGGUGUAAAGGGCGUGUAGGCGGGAAUGCAAGUCAGAUGUGAAAACUAUGGGCUCAACCCAUAGCCUGCAUUUGAAACUGUAUUUCUUGAGUGCUGGAGAGGCAAGCGGAAUUCCGUGUGUAGCGGUGAAAUGCGUAGAUAUACGGAGGAACACCAGUGGCGAAGGCGGAUUGCUGGACAGUAACUGACGCUGAGGCGCGAAAGCGUGGGGAGCAAACAGGAUUAGAUACCCCCGUA
rnacentral:rRNA from 1 species